UGGGGAAUAUUGGACAAUGGGGGGAACCCUGAUCCAGCCAUGCCGCGUGUGUGAAGAAGGCCUUAUGGUUGUAAAGCACUUUAAGCGAGGAGGAGGGUACUGGUAUUAAUACUACCAGGUACUGGACGUUACUCGCAGAAUAAGCACCGGCUAACUCUGUGCCAGCAGCCGCGGUAAUACAGAGGGUGCGAGCGUUAAUCGGAUUUACUGGGCGUAAAGCGUGCGUAGGCGGCUAAUUGAGUCGGAUGUGAAAUCCCCGAGCUUAACUUGGGAAUUGCAAUCGAUACUGGUUAGCUAGAGGGUGGGGGAGGAUGGUAGAAUUCCAGGUGUAGCGGUGAAAUGCGUAGAGAUCUGGAGGAAUACCGAUGGCGAAGGCAGCCAUCUGGCAUAACACUGACGCUGAGGUACGAAAGCAUGGGGAGCAAACAGG
rnacentral:rRNA from 1 species